rnacentral:rRNA from 1 species
UCAGGAUUAACGCUGGCGGCGUGCCUAACACAUGCAAGUCGAGCGGAAUAUCUUCGGAUAUUAGUGGCGAACGGGUGAGUAAUGUACAGGUAAUGUACCUUCGUACUGCGAAUAACAAGCUGAAAAGUUUGCUAAUACGGAAUAGUUUCCUUCGAGGGCAUCCUUAAAGGAAUAAAGAUUUAUCGUGCGGAGAUCAGCCUGUAUCCUAUUAGUUAGUUGGUGGGGUAAUGGCCUACCAAGACGACGAUGGGUAACUGGUCUGAGAGGAUGAGCAGUCACAUUGGAACUGAGAAACGGUCCAAACUCCUACGGGAGGCAGCAGUGAGGAAUUUUGCGCAAUGGGGGAAACCCUGACGCAGCAACGCCGCGUGAGUGAUGACGGCCUUCGGGUUGUAAAGCUCUGUCGUGUGUGACGAGUAGGGACGGUAACACACAAGGAAGCCUCGGCUAACUACGUGCCAGCCGCGGC